AAUUAAUCCCGGCCCAAAUAAAUUACCCUUUCUAUCUAAAAUUCUUUUUCGAUUUGAAUUCCCCCAAAUUAGAAUUCCCGUUAGAAAAAAAGCAUCACUCCCAUUAACCGCCUCACUGUCUAGUCUCGAUUUUUCCGGCUGCGACGACGCCUCCGAUUCCGGCUGCUCAUCGUGGCUCCAGGCGCCGCCGACGUCGAAGCAAUCUCCGUUCCCAGCGGCGCGUUACUGAGUGGUAGUGUUGGGGGCGAAGUUGUAGUUUGUGAUAAUGCGUGCAAAUUAAGCAACAAAAAAUGGGUGUAGGUGAUUAGGUGUAGUGUUUAUUUAAAUCGACGAGGCGGGAUACACGUCACCGUAGACCUCCUCACGGACUCACCGUCUGAUUUCGGUGCCACCGAUUCUCUCUCCGAGCGGCUCUCCAGAAUCCACCAAGCAGUCGUUGCAGCGGUGGACUGCCGUGGACUUCUCGGCCUAACUAAGUUGUUUCCAUUAAUUUUCCAGUUUAUAAAUUUUAUCUUCUUGUUUGGCUAGAUAUGUUAGGGAGUUAGAUCUGGGUCAUGAUAUAUGGGCUCUCAUCUUGAUUUGUGAAGCUAUUAAACUUAUUGUGAUGUCCAAACAUUCUUGGGUUGAAAGAGAAGGUCAUCGCUUGUUUAUUUGUAGAUUGGUGUUAUUCCUUUGAGCAUUUCUCUUAGAAUUUGGUCUCAGCCAUUUUGCAAGCUAGGCCCACUGACUGACUCUAUUUCUCUCUCGAUUUUGAUGGUGAAACAGUUGUGUGAUGCUGGAACUGUAGUUUGUUGGGAACUCUACGGAGGUUAAAUCUUCAAUUUCUUGGCUGCUUGUAUUAGGGAUGUACUCGUAGAAAUUAAUAGGGUUGUUCUAAAAGUUGCUGUUUAUGUUACAGAUAUUGUUAUUGGUAUUUAUACUUCGGAAUGCACAUAUUUGCUAUGUGGAAUUCUUCUCUUGCAUUCCAUGUUUCAUCUUACCUCUCGGGUGCCCAAAAUUGAACAGGUUAUCGGAAGUCAAACUGUAUUAUCUAUCAUCGUAUCAAGCAGACGACACUGGUCUAAUUUUUAUAUUGCUUGAUGAUGUGAAGAUAUUAGAACAACUGAUUGACCUGGUCUUCUAUCUGCUAGUUCUACUUGGUCCAUACAGAGAUGAAUCUCACACCAUACCCAAUGGCAUGGUUCUUCUUCAUUCGGCUCUGGUAGCUUGUAUUAUAAAAUUGUUUCUCCACACUACCAAGAGGUUGCUCAAGCAUUGACUGCAUAUUACAAGGUGGACAUAUUCAUAGAGGCAGAAUUUGCUGCUGUUUGUGUAGAUGUCAAGUUUCUGCAGACCAACGAUUCAUUUGGAAGUGCUUUCCCUACUACUGAAGAGACCUUGAAUCACCUCUGCCAGAGGAACUUGAGCUGGAAUUUCUAUUUUGUAUACAUGUUUCUGCUCCAGGGACUUCAUUUAUUUCUGUCCAAGUGAGAUAGUAAGAGAUUCCAUAAUCAGCUUGAUUUGCUUAUGUGGCUGCAGCUUUAUCUGAUGCAUGUUGAUCUGUUGCACCUUUGUGAAGCUGAAAGUGUAUCCUACCUGGAAGAGGUGGCCAGCAAAACAUCAACUCAGGAUGUGGCAAAGUCUGUUGGACUCAAGGUUCUUGCGUUGCUAAAAAAAAUGUUUAAUGCUCCCUCUGAGGCAAGCUACCCGAGGGGCAACUGGAACUUAAUGCAAUGCGCUUGGCAGAUGUCUUGUCAGAUGAUUCAAAUUUUCUGUCAUUCAUCAUGAUAAACUUUGACUAGCUUCGUAUAUUGGACUCUCGGCCCAGAUGAAAAAAAGAGUAGCCCAAUGCUACAUUUUUUCCGGAAUAAGCUUCAUAAAAAAGGAGUUUUAAUGCAGAAAAGGAAGGUAGGAAGGUAGUUUUACAAGAAAGUAGUUUUCCCGUACGUAUUCGAGGAUUCUGGUAACUCUACAUCAAAUCCUAGUCUUUGAGGAUUCUGGCUUCAGCAUCAGAAGCUCAGGACUAGAUAUCUUUUUAUUAUAAAUAACUUGUCCACUGCAAAUGUUGAGGCUAAAGCUAAAGAGUUUAUUGAAAUUUUGAAUUUUAUACUAUCCGUCCAUGUUUGGAACAGGCUCCAGCAUCAGAAGCUCAGGACUAGAUAUCUGGUUUGCGUUGUAUAUAGUUAUGGAGAGGGAGAGAUUUAGCUUGACACUACAUUCCUUACCUUAAAUAGUUCUCUGGAUGCAAUAUCUCUGUUCUCUGAACAGAGAUAUUGUGCAAGCCAUUUAUGUAAACUGCAAGGUUUGAUUUUUCUACUUACUUUAUUCAUUUUGGAAAGCCGGUUUUUAUUCUUGGUAUUUGUACUAUGUCUAGGUUCUGUUUUAAACAGAACUUGUAAAAUCUAGUGUGGAAGAACUAUCACUGCAGAAAAUUUAGCAAGCUGGCUUGGGAAGAUUACUAUUGGAAAAAAUCAAGUUCUAAGGGAACGAGUGAUAGAUUCUUCUUUUCGUCUGUUUUAUUUUUGAGUUUACUUCAUAAACUUGGAGCUGGGUUGUCUGAAAUCCUCAUGUUGCAAUAAAUAUUAUUAUCUCAUCUUCUUGAUUCAAAAUUUUUUCUGACACAUGGAAGUAUAUUAUUUGUUGAAUGCUUUUAAGGGGCUCAGGAUGCCUGUUAAUCCUUUUACCUCAAAGGUACGAUCCAUGGUUUAUUUUUUAUGUACUUGCGAGUCCAAGUUUAUUUCAACUCAAAAUGUGUUUGUUUUAGAUUUUCAAAGCCUGUUCAAACAGCAUUGCAUAUGGGCCUCCUCACCGUUGGGCAGUGGUUCUGUUUAAGCAUUUAAGUGUUGACCUCAUGGAUGUCACACCCUCUUCUCUUCUAAAGGAUGUAGUUUGACAAUUUGAAGGAUCAGUCAUUAAGCAUCAACUUGUUACUCACCUUAUGCUGGGCAUUGCUUUACAAGCUAUUUCAGUUGCUCAUACUGAACCUGAUGUUGGCCAUAGUUCCAAUACUAAUCACCGACCCGGUCUUAUUCAAUCUUCUGCUCCACAGAUUGAGAUUGCAGGCUCUGGAUUAGCAAUUCCCUCUUUGAUCCCACUACAACAGAGACCACCAAGUUCUCUAGAUGAGAGUGGACUCCUAAUUUCAUGAAGCCAACACAAUACACCUACCCUUCCCUAG